rnacentral:rRNA from 1 species
GACGAACGCUGGCGGCGCGCCUAACACAUGCAAGUCGAACGAGCGAGAGAGAGCUUGCUUUCUCGAGCGAGUGGCGAACGGGUGAGUAACGCGUGAGGAACCUGCCUCAAAGAGGGGGACAACAGUUGGAAACGACUGUUAAUACCGCAUAAGCCCGCGGUGCCGCAUGGCACAGAGGGAAAAGGAGCAAUCCGCUUUGAGAUGGCCUCGCGUCCGAUUAGCUAGUUGGUGAGGUAAUGGCCCACCAAGGCGACGAUCGGUAGCCGGACUGAGAGGUUGAACGGCCACAUUGGGACUGAGACACGGCCCAGACUCCUACGGGAGGCAGCAGUGGGGAAUAUUGCACAAUGGGGGAAACCCUGAUGCAGCGACGCCGCGUGGAGGAAGAAGGUCUUCGGAUUGUAAACUCCUGUUGUUGGGGAAGAUAAUGACGGUACC